AGCAGCCGCGGUAAUUCCAGCUCCAAUAGCGUAUAUUAAAGUUGUUGCAGUUAAAAAGCUCGUAGUUGAAUUUCGGGGUCAGUAGGUUGGUCAUGCCACUGGUAUGUACUGGUCUCACUGAUUCCUCCUUCCUGAUGAGCCGUAAUGCCAUUAAUUUGGUGUUGCGAGGAAUCUGGACUGUUACUCUGAAAAAAUUAGAGUGUUUAAAGCAGGCUAACGCUUGAAUACAUUAGCAUGGAAUAGUGAAAUAGGACGUUCGAUCUUAUUUUGUUGGUUUCUAAGAUUGACGUAAUGAUUAAUAGGGAUAGUUGGGGGCAUUAGUAUUCAAUUGUCAGAGGUGAAAUUCUUGGAUUUAUUGAAGACUAACUACUGCGAAAGCAUUUGCCAAGGAUGUUUUCAUUAAUCAAGAACGAAAGUUAGGGGAUCGAAGACGAUCAGAUACCGUCGUAG
rnacentral:rRNA from 1 species